CUGCUGCCCAGGUGGGUGCGGACGAGACAGGACUGGAGCCUUUCAGAGCUGAGGAAACUGAGUCAGGAAGAGCUGACAUCAGGAGACAGCAGAUCCAUGGAUCCUCCUGCCAGAGUCCUGCUGCAGCCCCUCUCCCUGGGGAACCCUCUCAGGCACAGCCACCCUUGCAGCCUCCAGAGACAGCUGGCAAGGGACUGUCAGGAGGUGAGUGGGAAGCCCACUCCCCCCCAUGCUCAUGCUCCCUCCGGCCUCCUGGCCACUGUCCGCUCUGGCUACCAUCCAACAGCUCAGCCCGGCUGCCGUAGCAUCCCAGACCCCAGCAGGAGGCUGCUGGGGGGCUUCCCUCCUCUUAGGGCCUCAGUUUCCCCAGUGUCCCAGUGAGGCUGUGCACAGACAGCUUCAGUGGCACCCCGGCCAGCACUAGGACAUCACUGAGACCCAUCGAGGGCCAGCCUGGGAGGUCAGGCCUAGGCCUUGCAUGGGGCCAGGUGUCCCUGCAGCCAUGCCACAUGGCCACCUGUGCCCCCAGUUCCCAGCCCAGCCUGCCAGACAAGCAAAAGGGGAAACCGAGGUUGAGAGGGGGCCGAGGGCGUCCUGACCCCGAAGCCUCCAUCUCGGCCCCUCCACUCACCCAUACGCAGAGAUCAGGGUCCCACCCAGCAGGGAGCCGAGGAUGACGCCGCCUCCGAAGCAGAGGCCCAGCCGGCCCAGGGCCGCAGGCCGUUCCUCGGGUGCCAGCAGGUCGGUGAUGACCAUCUGGGCGGCUGGGGAGGGGACAGGGGGGCUGAGUAGUGAAAGCCCCUCGCUGUACCCUUCACCACGACCCACCUCCCUCAACCCCUUCCACCUCCACCUGCCCCUCCACAAGCCACACUGACGUCACCCCCAACCCCUGUCCAGCCCUCAGGGCCAGACCCCAUCCGCACGCCGACCUCCCUAGCAGUGGCCCGGUCCUCCCAGGUUGCCCCCGCCCCAGCCCCACCUGUCCCCCAGCCCCCGGGCCUACCUGGCAUCGUGUGCAUGAGUGCCCCAGGCAGGCGGGAGGCGAAGAGCAGGUAGACCCCAGGCAGGGCUGGGCUGGAGGCGGCCACCAGGAGCAGGUAGAGUGCCAAGGCCGCCAAGAAGGAGAGGGUGAGCGCUGCCCGUGCCCCACGCUGGUCUGCGAACCUGGGGCCCGAAGGGCGGGUCAGACCCUCAUGGAGGCAGUCAGGGUCCCUCUUCCCCUUGCCCAGGGGCUAACCCGGAAGGCCGGAGUGCAGAUGGGGACGAAUGGCCUGAGAGCCUGGGUGGCUGCUGGGAGGCCUCCCUCCUCUCAGGGCCUCAGUUUCCCCAGCGUCCCAGUGGGGCUGUGUGCAGACAGCUUCACUGAGCGUCGAGACUGACCCACGGGAAAGAUCAACUCCGUGUAAAAUAAAUGAUGGAAUCCUG